rnacentral:rRNA from 1 species
UACGUAGGGUGCAAGCGUUAAUCGGAAUACUGGGCGUAAAGCGUGCGCAGGCGGUUAUGCAAGACAGAUGUGAAAUCCCCGGGCUCAACCUGGGAACUGCAUUUGUGACUGCAUAGCUAGAGUGCGGCAGAGGGAGAUGGAAUUCCGCGUGUAGCAGUGAAAUGCGUAGAUAUGCGGAGGAACACCGAUGGCGAAGGCAAUCUCCUGGGCCUGCACUGACGCUCAUGCACGAAAGCGUGGGGAGCAAACAGG